UCCAAGCUGCUGCAAAGGAGAGCUCCAAGCACAGAGUUUAUAUUUGUUGAUGUUUCCCAGGUCUGGACUCCGGGGUAACCUGCACCACUUUAUUCCACGUCAAAGGAAGAAACCCAUUGUCCUUCUAUGCAAAGAACAGAUCAUCAGAGGCCAGUACGCAGCUCCCGACACGCCUGCGACACGGCGGUCUAGGAGGGGCGGAGGUGAACGAACACUGGAGCCCAAUGCAGAUCCAGGUUCGAGUUCCAACUCUGCCACCCAUGGCGCCUGGCCUCCUGGAACCGGCCUGUGCAACGGGCCCACGACCCCCCUCCUCUGGCCGAGUGGGCGCUUGGAAGCGUCGGCUUCCUGCCCGCAGCUCGCCCGCGGGAUCUAGUGUUUCCCUUUUCUUCCUCGUCUUUUUUUUUUUUUUUAAUCCCUUCUCGCUUGCAUCUUUUUCUUCUCCGCAAUCUUGGCCAAACCGCAGCCUUUAGCAAUCCUUCGCGCCCACCCGGCGCCCAGCGAGCCUCACCGCUGCCGCGGCCCGCCCCGCGGCCAGAGCGCCGCCCCGUACCAGCCGCCCACACGCGGUUGUUCCGGACCUGAGCCAGCCGGCAUCGGUGGGUGAGGGCUGCUGCCGGCCUCAACCGAUAGGGUGCACUGCUCAGCUCGGUCGGUCCUGGGCGCUGCCCAGCUCGGUCGAUGGAGGGCGCUGUCUGCCCGCGUGAGCACGACUUCUAUGGGUAGUGAGGGAGUCUCUACCUGCCGAAGCCCCGCCUACCCAAACCUGCCGGGGCCCCGCCUACCCCAGCCUACUGGACCCCGCCCACGCUGCGUUUUUCCGAGAAUCUUACCCAACUAGACAGGCACGCGUUUCCCCUCCGGUGGGCUUGUCCUCCUUCGGUGCCCCAGCCCAGCAGCCUCCCGGACCUCAACGUUGCAGCGAAGGGGACUCAUCGGCCAGAGCCUCGCCCGGGUGGCCGACGACACUGGGGUGGGGCUGCGAACCCGGUCGCCGGGCAUUCCAGCCCCUGCCUGACCGCAAACCUAGGGCGAUGCUGCAAAUAGCCGCGGUUUCCAGCUGGUGUCCUGCCUCCCUCUCGGCCUUCCGGACCUUUGGGGUUUUCUCUCUCUUCUCUCCGCCCUCUCAUCUGACCGAUGUAUCCCGCCUCGUCCACAGUGCGUCCACCACAUCCUGCCCCAGGCAUGGUGGUUCCUUCGCCAGCGAGCUGGGGAGCCUCAAGACCAGUGCUGAGCCUGCGAGCACUUUACCCAAUCAUUCGUGAACUACUUGACCCACCCACCCUAGGAGGUUUACAGACCGGGAAACUCAGACUCAGAAACUCUCCACGGGCUAAAAUCAAUCUGACUGUUCCUGCAGUGGGAAGGCUAUCUCCCAGGCCUGGCACUGGUAUCUAGGAUGAUCAAGCCUGACCUGCCUGUUUCCACAUCUGUAAAACGAAGAGGGGAAAAGUGGUGACUUUAAGGAAGAAUUAGUUAAGGAAGAUGAUAGAAAGCCCCAAACAAGAGAAGAGGGUGGAGGCAUUGAUGUCUUGCCCAUGGGGGCACUAAAUAAAAGACAGGGUGACUUCCUGA